rnacentral:rRNA from 1 species
AUGUGGUAUACUAAUCUAUAUAGCUGCCCAUACAUCAAAAGCAAUACAGACUUCCGUACAGACUUCCGUUCGUCAGGAAUUUUCAGCGCCAGCCCAUCUACUCUGGGGAAGCAAAAAUUAUGGCGCUUGGCCCAUCUACUCUGGGAAAGAAAGCAAACUAAAGCACGUUUGUGCAAGAAUCUUAGUGAGGCGUUCUCAACUAGCAACGCUGAAGCCGGCAAGGAGUUGUUAAUCAUACCACCGCUCCCGCCGGCGUACGUCUCACCCAGGGAACUGAAGAAGGCAAAGAAGGCAGUCUCACCAACGAAGAAGAAUGAUAAGUUGGCACUAUUGGCGGGCUCCGACAGUGAGCGCCGCCAGGCCCAAUGA